CCUGUGCGUUCCUUUUUUGAAGAGUGUAUCACUGACUGCAGCAUGCCUCAACUGAUCUCCCUUUGAUAUAUAUGGAUUUGUUCCUCCAAACAGAACGUUGAAAGGGAGGUAACCGUGUUCCGUUCUCCCGCCUGGCCUAAGAAGAGUUCACUUCCGGAAUCACCAUCUAGCCUCCUCAGCUUGAUCGACUUCCUCAGACAGUGGAACGCUGGUGCUCCUUCACCCCUUCUAGUUGUCUGCAGGGACGGAGCCACCAGAAGCGGGCUCUUCUGUGUUAUUGCCAGCGCAGUGCAGCGCCUGCUGUUGGAAAAGGAAGUCGCCCUCCAGCAGACGAUACGCAGCAUACGUUUUGUCCGGAAACAAGUUAUUCCCAACCUGGAACAAUUUGAAUUCUGCUAUGACUCUGUGAAGGCCUACAUGGACAGUUUCCAGGAAUACUCAAACUUUGCUUGAGAUGAAGUUUCAUUGAGUUAGUUCGCUAGGUGUUCUUUGUUGAGUUUUCUUUCUUUUUUCACUUUGUUACAAUUCCAUUAUGUAUGUUUUCUAUUUUUUCGUUUCUUGAAAAUGUAUUUACAAAUCUUCGUUUCUUUUUAAUUCAGGUCGCCUGUGAGCAUUGUUCACAUGACCGACAAUAAAUGCGAUGUC